GCCAUUACUCAGUGGUUGAGCAUCUACUUUGCAUGCAGAAGGUCCAGGGUUCAGUCCCUGGCAUCUCCA